rnacentral:rRNA from 1 species
UUGGCUCAGGAUGAACGCUGGCGGCGUGCCUAAUACAUGCAAGUCGAGCGGCAGCAUGGGCUUCACCGUUUCCUUGACACACCUAGCGUUUUGAUCGUAGGUUGUGCAAAUCUCGAGGGAACAGUGAAGCCUGAUGGCGAGCGGCGGACGGCUGAGUAACGCGUGGGAACGGACCCCAAACUGAGGGAUAACUACUCGAAAGAGUGGCUAAUACCGCAUGUGAUCUUCGGAUUAAAGUCUUCGGACGGUUUGGGACUGGCCUGCGUACGAUUAGAUAGUUGGUAGGGUAAUGGCCUACCAAGUCGACGAUCGUUAGAUGGUUUGAGAAGAUGAUCAUCCAGACUGGGACUGAGACACGGCCCAGACUCCUACGGGAGGCAGCAGUGGGGAAUA